UAAUACGGAGGGUGCAAGCGUUAAUCGGAAUUACUGGGCGUAAAGCGCACGCAGGCGGUUUGUUAAGUCAGAUGUGAAAUCCCCGGGCUCAACCUGGGAACUGCAUUUGAAACUGGCAAGCUAGAGUCUCGUAGAGGGGGGGUAGAAUUCCAGGUGUAGCGGUGAAAUGCGUAGAGAUCUGGAGGAAUACCGGUGGCGAAGGCGGCCCCCUGGACGAAGACUGACGCUCAGGUGCGAAAGCGUGGGGAGCAAACAGGAUUAGAUACCCUGGUAGUCCACGCUGUAAACGAUGUCGAUUUGGAGGUUGUGCCCUUGAGGCGUGGCUUCCGGAGCUAACGCGUUAAAUCGACCGCCUGGGGAGUACGGCGCAAGGUUA
rnacentral:rRNA from 1 species